CCACUGAACCUUAUCAUUUAGAGGAAGGAGAAGUCGUA
rnacentral:rRNA from 1 species